GGAAUCCUUAUCACAGAGUCAGGAGAAUGGUGAAGUUGGGGUAUCAGGCCGGGACUAUGCGUUAGUCCCCGGCGACAUGUGGCUGCAGGCACUCAAAUGGCACAGUAACUCUAAAGCUGCUGCUAAGAAUGGAAAAAGUUUUUCAGUUACAGAUGAGGAUAUUGCGGAUGUCUAUCCUUUACAGCUGAGGCUUUCUGUUUCACGGGAAACC
rnacentral:misc_RNA from 1 species